AGCUGCCGGCCGACACCACAGCCACAGCCACGCCAGAUCUGAGCCACAUCUGUGACCUACACCACAUAACGCCAGAUCCUGAACCCACUGAGCAAGUCCAGGGAUCAAACCUGCAUCCUCAUGGGCACUGGUCUGCUUCUUAACCCGCUGAGCCACAGCGGGAACUCCUGCAGCCAUGAGUCUUGACUAUUGCGCUAUGUCCUCAGCUUUACAUGAAAGGUGAUGCUCUCAGGGAUCCAAAGUCACUAACCAGUCUAGCCUUGGCAAAGCAAGAUUAGGAAAAACGCCCAAGACCCAUCGGCUCUCAAUCACCCCGGACUGACCACCGCCAUGAAGACGCAUCUGCUGAGGGGGAGGCUGGUCAGAAGCAGGGGCUGCCAAGGUGGGUGGGGGCCCGGCCCGGGCUUCGAGGGCAGAGGAAGGAUGGGGACAGCGUCACGUGCAAGUCGAUGCGAGGGCUCAGAGGAGGGGACGUCGCUCCUUUGGCUGGUGACGUUCAGGACCCUUCUUCUCUUGCCGCGGGUUCCCUGCAGGCCACAGAGGCUCACAGAACUCAGUGCCAGGGGCCCAUCCAUCAUGGGACAGCUGUGCCCAAGGGCAUCCUAUCAGCAGCUGCAGGGUCCAAGCCCUCAGACUCGUGUGCCUACAGUCAGCCUGUGACAACGGUUGGAGGUCAACCACCCUUGUCCCUUGCGUGCAUGUCCUCAGGGUCCACAUUGCCUCCUGGCACCAUCCUGCGGUAGGGCACAGGGGUUGGGUGUGGGGACUCAGGUGCCAGAUGGCGCAGGCUCAGGAGCCUGGCCUCUGCUGCAAAGCCUUUCCCACCUGGAGGAUGGAGACAGAGCAUCACCUCACGCAUGGGGCUCGGGUCUGCUCCCGCACCCUGUGCAGGGGGCGUGUUGGCUCCGCGAACAUUGGCUGCUUCUACAAGGCUCCGUUCCUCUCCCUCUCCCUGCGAGGCUGAGCUGGAGAAUCACGGGGGCCAGAGGCCACGUCGAUGGAGCAACGGAGGGCAGACAGGACGGCCUCUUCCACCUUCGACACAGCUCUGACCUUGUCACGGGGCAGGGAGGGAAUGGAGCUGGCAGCUCGCUUGGCCUUUCCUCGCUGGAUGUGCCUCCCAGGCCCCCUCUUCAGGGAUGAGGGCUCGUUCUGGCGGCGGCGGCGGCUCAAGGCCGCCCCUUGAAGGAAGCACCUCACCCAAGGCCUGGCUGCCCUCAUCGGACGCGCGACUGAAGAACCCAGCACAACCCGGAUGCGUCGACCAAGGUCUUCAUCCGAGUCCUGAGCAGCACCCCCAAAGCAUGUCGACACCCUGAGUCUGCUUUGGGGGUGCUUCUCUCCAACUCUGAAAUUCUAAAUGACCCCCUCCCCUCCCCCUCUUCUUCCCUGCGAGUGCAGAGGGAAGGUGAGACUUAGGGGCCCGGGAGUCCUGCCUCCCCAGUGGUCCUGGACCCCGACAACUACCCAACACCACUGCUGCUGGGUGACGGAGGCGAUGUCGUAAUUUGCUUUGGCCAUUUCUGGGCAUCCUGUGACUUGAGACUUUUCUAAUGGUGAGAUGGCUUUAGUUUAACCUUCAAAAGCCAAAGCCACCUAGGCAGAACCCAGGCAGGUGUUUAGGGAGUGCCUGAUGCACAGGACACCUCUGGCACUUUGAGGAAAGACUAAUGGAAGAGAAAUUCCGCCCAAGGGGUCCGGGGGUGGAAGGGGGCCCAGCCUCCCUCUCUCCAGAGGACCUCUCUUCCUGCAAGAAUGAGGCACGAAGAGCAGGUCCAGCCUGACCCUGGCCCCCCUCAGUCCAGGGGAGUGUGCAGAAGCCCUCAGACCACAGGCAGCUCGGAGAACCAGCAUCCUCCGAGGAGGGACUGGACACUGGCCGGCAUCUCUUCCAUCUGUCACAGAACAGAUUCAGGAAAGGCAGGCCCCUGAGGCUUCCAGCAGGGCGGGGACACCAGGCUGGGGCGGUGUCACCGCACCACCUGGGGAUGUAUUUCCCACUGGUACCAAGGAAUGGUUCCCUUGGGACCCAGCCACGGGCAAGUCCUGAGCAGCACUGGGCGGGGACACAGGAUGCCACCCCCAGCGAGACUGUGGUUCUCUGAAGAAGACAAGGCGGCAGUAAUCAAUCGCGAUCUUGACCUUGAAGGAGAAGCCAGGCCCUUCUCUGGGAUUUUCACCCACGCGCGAAAGGAAGCUGCUGGAGUCGGCUGGCAGGGCGAGGUCUGGGGACAGAGGAAGCAGGUCACCCCCGGGGCUGGGGGGUGGGGGUGCAGCUUCAAGCCCAGAGGGGCUGCCAGCCCGGAGCUGUCCUUGCUCCGUCAGAAGCUGAGGGCUUGUGACCCCCUGAGCUUUUCUUCUCCGCUUGCUCAACCACUAAGCAGCUGAGUGGACUCAUCUCCCCAAACCCACAUCCCCGCCCAUUCAGGGACCGUGCUGGGCAGUGUUGCUGCGAAGAUCUGUGAAAGCCACCCGCCUCCUGCUCGUAGACUCCCUCCCAGGAUUGUGGGGAAAAGAUGCCAUCUGGUAAAGGAAGCCUAUUUCCUUGGGGUCUGCAGGAAAUCCUCCCAGCCUUCCAAAGUGACACCGUCUGGACACGCUUCCCUUCAGCCAAGGACCAUGCUAGUGCAGCAGGACUACACCUACCUGGUCCAGGGCUCAGCAUGACGAAUGAUGUGCCCUUAACAGUCACCUGUGACAGGAGGCGGGACGCUGAGCUCAGGGAAGCUGGGGGAUGUGGGAUUGGGCCCGGAACGCCCCUUCUGCCAUGCAGUCCAAGGCCUCCAGCCCCGCCUGCCAGGGCAGUGGGCUGGGAAGGACGGGAGGCCAGUGGGCACCUGCAGCGUCCAGGUGUCACAAAAUCAUGGGAGGCUCUCCGGGGUUGGAGGAAGGACCCUUCCAGCUCCUACUGAGGCUCCAUCUCCCCAUCAGAUGCUUUCAGCCCCCUAAAUAAGAACUCCUAAUCAGCAACGAUGAGACAGGAAGACAGGCAGCAGGGAGAAGACACUGCCGGCAGCUCUCAGUAGAAGCCUGAGGAGCCAGGAGGGCAAAAACGCUGCUGAAAAGGGUCUCAUCUUCAUUCUUGGAGACACAGAUCACCUGGACUCGCUGAAACGCACUUUAGUCCUCCUGUACCACUCCCAGUGUCUCCACUAGGCUCGUCUGUCCCCGGCCUUCCUGCCCUUGCCCGCUCUGUCUCCUUUUUUUUAAUUUGUUUUUCCUCUUAGGGCUGCAGGUGCAGCAUAUGGAGGUUCCCAGGAUAGGGGUCCAAUCGGAGCUGCCCCUGCCAGCCUACACCACAGCCACAGCAACUCGGGAUCUGAACCACGUCUGCAACCUACACCACAGCUCAGGGCAACACCAGAUCCUUAACCCACUGAGCAAGGCCAGGGAUCGAACCCUCAACCUCAUGGACACUAGUCGGGUUCGUGACCACUAAGCCACGAUGGGAAGUCCCUCCAUCUCCUUCUGAAGUGUGUUUAAGCCCAUCUCUGAGCUGGUGGGGGCUCAGAAACACACUCUCCCUGAGAGCGGCCACAGCGCCCAAGGCCUUGACCAUGGAAGAUAGCGUUGGUCCCACCUCAACGCCAGGAAGGAGGACACAAAGGCGAGCCCAGUGCAGCCCAGCCCCUGGCCCCACCUGAGGCCCGAGUACCCCCAAAGGUCCCCAAGACUCACUUUCUGGAGUCAAGGUGCAAACUCCUGGGGGGCCAAUGAAAGAACGGCAGGUGCGCCAAGGAGAUGAAGGCGGACAGACAUUAACCCCAGAAGGCCAGCUGCUGAUCACCUCCCCCUAGGCUGUCGCAUUCCAACCCAGGGGAGUCCGGCUCCAAGCCACUGAACUCUCCCGGGGCCCUGCCAAGGGAGGGGGGUGGGGGGAGAGCCCAGGAGCCCUCGGGUGUGUUCUGCUCCCAGGUGGAGGCUGUCCUCACCCCCACCCCAACUCUCAGCAGCCCCUCCGGAGACUUGGCCUUCAAGUUCCUGGCAAAGGCCCUUUCCAGCCACAGUCAGCUGAGCGCUCAAGCCCUGCACCCCCUGGGCUCCCUCUGGCUUUCACUCUGGGCUCAAGGCUUCGGCCCCCUGGACCAUCUCGCUGUAAGGAAAGAUGACGGACGACGCAAAUUCGUAAAUGUAUUUAGUUACAGGGCACAGAGAUGAAUAUACAUUUGAAUUUCUAGUUCAAGAACCACUUUCAUGGAGAAGAAUAAAAUUAGGUUACUGAGAAACCUGGGCAGUAUGGGGGCACAGCUCCACGCUGAGGGUGGCCUUCCCCACGGGCCCUUUACAAGGAGAAGACACCAGGACUCUGGGGGUGCCCCCUUCCUGCUUUUACCCAUGGAUCUCAUCUCCAUCUCCCCACGCCCUAUGGGGAAGGUGGGGGCUACGAUCCACCUAUUUCACAGGUGAGAAAACUGAGGAUCGGGAAGCAUCAAAGUGCCUGGGAAAACACGGGAGCCAUGGCGGGCCAGAACUGCUUGGACCUGGACGCCCAAACUCAGGGCCCUCCACCUCGCCGCCCCCUGCAGAGCAGAGGACCCCCUCAGAUGCUCACACAAAGGAGUCUGCUCUCCAGGUCCAGCCUGCCUCCGGCCCCGCCCGCGUGGUUCCAGGGUGGUGAGGCCUGGCCUUGUGCCCAUCACCCCUCCCUCUCUGCUUGUGCUUGGCAUCUUCUGCCAGCGGAGGUGCCAGACUGGCUUCCCAUCAAAGGGUUUCGGAGCCGUCUAGAAUACCCCCCGGCAGAUUUAUGAUGCUUUUCCUCGUCCGCCGGCCUGAGCAAAAGCCCGAACGACCGUCCCCAGGUCGGAGAUGGAGGGAGAAAGCAACGAACACAACACUGUUCCUG
rnacentral:lncRNA from 1 species